rnacentral:rRNA from 1 species
GAUACCAGCUGGCUGCAACUGUUUAUUAAAAACACAGCACUGUGCAAACACGAAAGUGGACGUAUACGGUGUGACGCCUGCCCGGUGCCGGAAGGUUAAUUGAUGGGGUUAUCCGUAAGGAGAAGCUCUUGAUCGAAGCCCCGGUAAACGGCGGCCGUAACUAUAACGGUCCUAAGGUAGCGAAAUUCCUUGUCGGGUAAGUUCCGACCUGCACGAAUGGCGUAAUGAUGGCCAGGCUGUCUCCACCCGAGACUCAGUGAAAUUGAACUCGCUGUGAAGAUGCAGUGUACCCGCGGCAAGACGGAAAGACCCCGUGAACCUUUACUAUAGCUUGACACUGAACAUUGAGCCUUGAUGUGUAGGAUAGGUGGGAGGCUUUGAAGCGUGGACGCCAGUCUGCGUGGAGCCAACCUUGAAAUACCACCCUUUAAUGUUUGAUGUUCUAACGUUGGCCCCUUACCGGGGUUGCGGACAGUGUCUGGUGGGUAGUUUGACUGGGGCGGUCUCCUCCCAAAGCGUAACGGAGGAGCACGAAGGUUAGCUAAUCCUGGUCGGACAUCAGGAGGUUAGUGCAAUGGCAUAAGCUAGCUUGACUGCGAGCGUGACGGCGCGAGCAGGUGCGAAAGCAGGUCAUAGUGAUCCGGUGGUUCUGAAUGGAAGGGCCAUCGCUCAACGGAUAAAAGGUACUCCGGGGAUAACAGGCUGAUACCGCCCAAGAGUUCAUAUCGACGGCGGUGUUUGGCACCUCGAUGUCGGCUCAUCACAUCCUGGGGCUGAAGUAGGUCCCAAGGGUAUGGCUGUUCGCCAUUUAAAGUGGUACGCGAGCUGGGUUUAGAACGUCGUGAGACAGUUCGGUCCCUAUCUGCCGUGGGCGCUGGAGAAUUGAGGGGGGCUGCUCCUAGUACGAGAGGACCGGAGUGGACGCAUCACUGGUGUUCGGGUUGUCAUGCCAAUGGCACUGCCCGGUAGCUAAAUGCGGAAGAGAUAAGUGCUGAAAGCAUCUAAGCACGAAACUUGCCCCGAGAUGAGUUCUCCCUGAGACUUUAAGUCUCCUGAAGGAACGUUGAAGACGACGACGUUGAUAGGCCGGGUGUGUAAGCGCAGCGAUGCGUUGAGCUAACCGGUACUAAUGAACCGUGAGGCUUAACCUU